rnacentral:rRNA from 1 species
UACGAAGGGGGCGAGCGUUGUUCGGAUUUACUGGGCGUAAAGGGCGCGCAGGCGGUUCUGUUUGUCGAGUGUGAAAGCCCCGGGCUCAACCUGGGAACUGCGCUCGAAACGGCGGAACUAGAGUUCGGGAGAGGAGAGUGGAAUUCCCAGUGUAGGAGGUGAAAUUCGUAGAUAUUGGGAAGAACACCGGUGGCGAAGGCGGCUCUCUGGACCGAUACUGA